AGUGAACGCUGGCGGUAGGCCUAACACAUGCAAGUCGAACGGCAGCACAGUAAGAGCUUGCUCUUACGGGUGGCGAGUGGCGUACGGGUGAGGAAUACAUCGGAAUCUACUUUUUCGUGGGGGAUUACGUAGGGAAACUUACGCUAAUACCGCAUACGACCUACGGGUGAAAUCAGGGGAUCUUCGGACCUUGCGCGAUUGAAUGAGCCGAUGUCGGAUUAGCUAGUUGGCGGGGUAAAGGCCCACCAAGGCGACGAUCCGUAGCUGGUCUGAGAGGAUGAUCAGCCACACUGGAACUGAGACACGGACCAGACUACUACGGGAGGCAGCAGUGGGGAAUAUUGGACAAUGGGCGCAAGCCUGAUCCAGCCAUACCGCGUGGGUGAAGAAGGCCUUCGGGUUGUAAAGCCCUUUUGUUGGGAAAGAAAAGCAGCAGGUUAAUACCCCGCUGUUCUGACGGUACCCAAAGAAUAAGCACCGGCUAACUUCGUG
rnacentral:rRNA from 1 species